rnacentral:lncRNA from 1 species
GGAAAUGGCUCCGAGAGGCUUUGACGCAUGUGUACCUUUUUAGUGGCGGUAUCUCGGCCGGGGAUUUUCGGGCUCCAGUGGAGGUGGCUAUGCUCACCCCAUCUCCCUUGAGAGGCACAGAAGGUUAGAGAUGUGUGCGAGGAACGGCCAGGUCCAGCGUCUCCUCGUUGCUGCCCCUUGAGCCCGGGACCGGCGCCAAUGCGCGCCCGGGUUCUUGGGUUCUUUCGUCCCGCAGACCUGCCUUGGUGUGGCGUCCCUGGGCCGUAGCUUCCGAAGGCUGCAGCCGACCUGGUCGGGGUCCUCUAGCCCGCCUUCCCCUUCCCCCAUUGACAGAUGGAGAAACUGAGGCCCAGGCCAAAAAAUAUCUCACUAGAGGGCUCACCGCCAUUUCCUGGAAAAAUUGGGGCUGGGACUCAACGGACGCUCGUCCAGCAGCAGCGCGGAGCUCCGAAGUAAAGGCGCCCGUGACCGAGUGCUUUGUCCUUACAAGCGUGGUGUUCUUGAAUGCUUCCAGGCGCCUUAUGAGGCCCCCGAUGUACAAUCUGUGCUUAACUAAACCCCACUGUCUUCCAGGGUCAGGUUGGCCAUCCGCAGGCGUAGUUGCUAGGAAGGUUUGACAGAUGUCCGCCUGUUGAUUCAGACGUUCCCAGGAUUUGGAGCAAGAAGAGCAAGGAAGGCCAGGCGCGGUGGCUCACGUUUGUAAUCCCAGCACUUUGGGAGGCCGAGGCGGGCGGAUCACGAGGUCAGGAGUUCGAGACCAGCCUGGCCAGCAUGGUGAAACCCCGUCUCUACUAAAAAUACAAAAGAAAAUUAGCCGGGUGUGGUGGCACAUGCCUGUAGUCCCACCUACUUGGGAGGCUGAGGCAGGAGAAUUGUUUGACCUGGCAGGCGGAGGUUGCAGUGAGCCGAGAUUGCGCCACUGCACUCCAGUCUGGGCGACAGAGCGAGACUCUGUCUCAGAAAAAAAAAAGAGCAAGGAGGUGUUGAAAAUGGGUUUCCUGGCUGGGCGUGGUGGCUCACGCUUGUAAUCCCAGCACUUUGGGAAGCUGAGGUGGGCGGAUCACUUGAGGUCAGGAGUUUGAGACCAGCCUGGCCAACAUGGUGAAACACCGUCUCCACUAAAAAUAGAAAAAUUAACUGGGUGUGGUGGAGGGCGCCUGUAAUCCCAGCUAAUCAGGAAGCUGAGACAGGAGGAUCGCUUGAACCCAGGAGGCGGAGGUUGCAGUGAGCCGAGAUUGCUCCAUUGCACUCCAGCCUGGGCGAUAGAGUGAGACUCAGCCUCAAAAAAAAAAAAAAAAAAAAAUUCGCCAGGUGUGGUGGUGUGCGCCUAUAAUCCCAGCUACUCAGGAGGCAGAGGCACAAGAAUGGCUUGAAUCACUUGAACCUGGGAGGCAGAGGUUACAAUGAGCCGAGAUGGCACCACUGCACUCCAGCCUGGGCGACAGAGCGAGACUCCGACUUCCCAUCUUAAAAAAAAAAAAAAAAAAAAAAAAGAAGUGUAAAGAUGUGAUUAUGUGGCAGGGGGUAAGGGUUAAAAAGAAAACAAGAACAAGUUUUCCUCUGCUUAGCCAGCUUACUUCAAGGACAGUUAUAACACUGAAAAGUCGAGGCCAAAGGAAUGGGCUCCAGACAGCCUCCUCCGGAGCAAAGUUGAAAAGAAAAAUUCCUUUACUGUCUCUCCUUUUCUGAACCAUUAAAUAUGACUGUUUGCCAAUGGUUGUAUUUAGUAAGAUUUGUAGACUCUGUUUUUCUUUUGACACAGCUGCAAGGCCAACAGCUGUGCAAAGCCACAAGUUAUGCUAAGUCAGCAGUUAUGCUAUAGAUUACAUGACCUGUGACUGUAUCAUUAACUGCUUUUGUUUUGCUUCUGUAAGUUUGCCUAUAAAAACCACACUCAGUCUUUGUUCAAUGGUCAGCUUUUCAGAUACAAAUCCACUGAGCCGGUGUACAUCUAAAUAAAUCCUCCUGUUUCCCGUGU